rnacentral:rRNA from 1 species
GACGAACGCUGGCGGCGUGCUUAACACAUGCAAGUCGAACGAAGAGCGAUGGAAGCUUGCUUCUAUCAAUCUUAGUGGCGAACGGGUGAGUAACGCGUAAUCAACCUGCCCUUCAGAGGGGGACAACAGUUGGAAACGACUGCUAAUACCGCAUACGAUCUAAUCUCGGCAUCGAGGAUAGAUGAAAGGUGGCCUCUACAUGUAAGCUAUCACUGAAGGAGGGGAUUGCGUCUGAUUAGCUAGUUGGAGGGGUAACGGCCCACCAAGGCGAUGAUCAGUGGCCGGUCUGAGAGGAUGAACGGCCACAUUGGGACUGAGACACGGCCCAGACUCCUACGGGAGGCAGCAGUGGGGAAUCUUCCGCAAUGGGCGAAAGUCUGACGGAGCAACGCCGCGUGAGUGAUGACGGCCUUCGGGUUGUAAAGCUCUGUUAAUCGGGACGAAAGGCCUUCUUGCGAAUAGUGAGAAGGAUUGACGGUACCGGAAUAGAAAGCCACGGCUAACUACGUG